rnacentral:misc_RNA from 1 species
GCCAUCACCAUCAACAUCAGCCUCACGGAUCAUUUCAUCGACCUCCUCGUCGGUCAGCUUCUCGCCUAGGUUAGUCAUGACAUGACGAAGCUCAGCAGCUGAUAUGAAGCCGUUCUGGUCCUUGUCAAAAACUCUGAAGGCCUCCUUGAGCUCCUCCUCGGAGUCGGUGUCCUUCAUUUUCCGGGCCAUCAGGUUGAGGAAUUCAGGGAAAUCGAUAGUCCCAUUGCCGUCAGCAUCGACCUCGUUAAUCAUGUCCUGAAGCUCUGCCUCUGUUGGGUUCUGGCCCAGGGAGCGCAUCACGGUCCCGAGCUCUUUGGUUGUGAUGCAACCAUCGCCGUCCUUAUCGAACAGGCUGAACGCCUCCUUAAACUCGGAGAUCUGAUCGUCAGUGAGCUGAUCCGCCAUGGCUGAUGUGCUCGGAGAUCGUGACAGGAGAGGGAGAGGAGAGGGAUCUAG